GUGCUUCGUGUCUGUCAAACAGCGAGGAAUUGUUCAGGGGCAGCAACCCAAGAUUCUGAGGCGUUGCGCUGCAUGGUAUGGGUGCUCGUAUGGGAUGCAAUUCUUUUGGGAGCUGCGAAACCCUACUUAGCACAGUCUUACUGAGCCUGUCCGGCGGGAUGGCGGGGCUGCUGCAAAAGGGAAUGUUAAGAGAUAUUCCAAACGAAGCUAUAAGUAAACGGUAGGUUUAUGUAUUGCCCUGUAGUGCAACUGGAAAAAGAAAACUCUGUCUACAGAUAAGACUGUUCGCAAAACCUGGAAGUUCGGCAAAUUGAGGUAACAUCAUUAGCGCAGCUCAACAUACCACUACAUGCGUCGUUAAAAG
rnacentral:lncRNA from 1 species